AAUUUGCGUGAAGGAUUGAAGCGAUAUCCUUUUUUAUUUUUUUAAAAAAGAUUUAGCAUAAAGCCUGACUUUUA
rnacentral:sRNA from 1 species